GUAAACUGUUUUUGAAAACAUGUGGUUUUUGGUUAAUCGUUAAUUGGAAAUUAGUAGAGUUUAUAUAAUUAAUCAAAAAAUACAGUGAACUAUAUGACUGGACAGCUCAAUUUGACCAGCAAUUAAAGCAAAUUUACAUCGCUUGCUACUGGUAUCUGAUGACUUUAAAAGAAUAAAAUAUCCAUAUUUCUUUACAUAUUAUAUUUUAACCUUUAAACAAACUAAACAAUUUAUUAUAAAAUUAAUUUUGUUUUCUUUCAAAUUUCAACCGCAAUUAGUAGUACUAACUUUUAAUUCAAAUAUCUAUAACAUGAUUGGAUGAACAAAUACAAUUUGUUAUUUUGGUUAGUCACAGCAUUGGACAUGUCACCUAAUAACUUAAUAC